UACAGAGGUCUCAAGCGUUGUUCGGAUUCAUUGGGCGUAAAGGGUGCGCAGGCGGCCGGGUGUGUGAGGCGUGAAAGCCCGAUGCUUAACAUCGGAAUUGCACCUCAAACUACACGGCUAGAGCAUUGGAGAGGGUAGCGGAAUUCACGGUGUAGCAGUGAAAUGCGUAGAUAUCGUGAGGAACACCAGAGGCGAAGGCGGCUACCUGGACAAUUGCUGACGCUCAGGCACGAAAGCGUGGGGAGCAAAAGGG
rnacentral:rRNA from 1 species